GAAAAUACAUUUAAAAAAAAAAAAUUAUUGAGAUUUACACUCGGCUUGGUAGCAACAAGCAAGUUUGGCAAUGGUUCAAACUCUUUAUAGGAAGAGCAAGGAAAGAGUGCAGUUUCUGCCAUUGUUUUCACCUCAUGACAUUGACAAACAUACAACACUUCAUCUCUUCAACUAUAAAUCAUCAGCAGAAAGAGACUAUUCUUUUCCCACCACAAAUUUUACCAGUGCUCUUUACUCUCUUCCACAGAGAUCUUCGCUCUUGAAUGCAUAUUUCCCCUGAGGUUUAUGAAAUAACACCCAAAAAUUUCUAACAUGUAAACACUUAAUCGUUCCAAGGAUCAUUCUCUGCCCUCACUUCUGAUGGUUCAACUACUUCUGGCGGUUCAACUACUUCUGGCUCUGUAGCUUUAUCCGCAUUGGCAACAGAUUCUGCAGCAUUAUCUGCCUCGUCAUCUUCAGAUCUGCCCCAUCUACCGCCAAGUGCCAUAGUCAUCAUCUCAUAUAUCUUGUUACCCAACUCAGCUGGGCUGUCA
rnacentral:misc_RNA from 1 species